rnacentral:rRNA from 8 species
UUAAAACUUUCAACAACGGAUCUCUUGGCUCUAGCAUCGAUGAAGAACGCAGCGAAAUGCGAUACGUAAUGUGAAUUGCAGAAUUCAGUGAAUCAUCGAAUCUUUGAACGCACAUUGCGCCUGGCAGUAUUCUGCCAGGCAUGCCUGUCCGAGCGUCAUUU